ensembl:lncRNA
AUGCUGGCAACCUUUGAAGAAACCAGAUCAAUUUUCUAUGAUAGUAAACUCUAUGCUUUUCUCCUUCUAGAACCCCAACUUCAGAGCUGCUUAACUUCUUCAUCGAUUGAGAUCCUGAAUCUGCUCAAGAUUGGAACAAUCUUCAGCAUCACCAUUGGCUUUCUGGCACCAGUGUGUGUAGGUUUCUGCAAAAAGCAUCCAGGAAGAUCCCCCAUUGCUCAUUUUACAGGAUCUCAACGCAUCCUGGAUUCCCACACCAAAGGAGUCUUUUAAGAGAAAGACAAAUGCAACUUUUGCAGAGCAAUGGACCCAUUUUAAUAUAUCUACAUUUGAAGAGAGAAUUCUACUUCAUGUCUAAUAAGAAAACAGGAAUUUCAAUUUAUAAUCUGUUGUAUAUGUUUUGCACCUAUAGAUAGAUACAAUUUUUUUUGAUUGACUGGUUUGUUUUGUUGUGCUAUAUGUUAUCUAUACAGGAUGUCUAUAAGUCCACUGCUUAUUUUUAGUAUACCAUUUAAAAUAUUUUUAAAAAUCUAUCCCUGUAACCCUACAAAAUCCAACAGUAGAAGAUUGCCAAAUAUCUUUCUGCUCUUUGUGGAAUAGUUCUGGAGUUCUUUUUAAAAUCUUUAUCUUACCAUUAAAACAUUCAGCAACAAUAAAUAUAUAAACAGAUACUUGUAUAUGUGAUGAUCAAAAAUGAAACAAAAUUACAAAAUUGGCUGUUCAUUUUCACGGUGGAUAGAGGGGCAAGACUGAAGGCUGACUCAACCUUCAAACUCAAAGAAUUGCUGUGAGUUUUCCGGGCUGUAUGGCCAUAUUCCAGAGGCAUUCACUCCUGACGUUUCACCCACAUCUAUGGCAGACAUCCUCAGAGGCUGUGAAGUUUGUUGGAAAUAGGCAAGUGGUGUUUAUAUAUCUGUGGAAUAUCCAGGGUGGGAGAAAGAACUCUUGUCUGCUUGAAACAAGUGUGAAUGUUGCAAUUGGUCACCUUGAUUAGCACUGAAUAACCUAUCAGCUUCAAAGCCUGGAUGCUUCCUGCUUGGGGGGGGAUCCUUUGUUGGGAGGUGUUAGCUGGCCCUGAUUGUUUCAUGCCUGGAAUUCCCCUGUUUUUAAAGUGUUGUUCUUUAUUUACUGUCCUGAUUUUAGGGUUUUUUAAAAAUAUUGUUUGCCAGACUUGGCUACAGUAAAGAACAACACUCAGAAAACAGGGGAAUUCCAGGCAUGAAACAAUCAAGGCCAGUCAACACCUCCCAACAAAGGAUUCCCUGGCAGGAAGCAAUAAAACUGGCAGCCAGAGGAACCUUGAUAUCCCAAUCAUGCAAUCCAUUAGUUGACAUUGUUGGACUGCAGAUUCUAGCAUUCUUCCUCACUGACUAUACUGUCUAAAUUUACUGAAAAUUGCAGUCCAAUAACAUUUGGGGGAUGAGAUGAGAUUUUCCAACCAUUCUUCUAAAGGAAACACAUCUCAGGAACCUUUCAUUUUCGCGACAAUUUUGCUUCCCUAUAACUUCUCAUUAGGACUGCUGUUCAUUCAGUAGUUAUGUCCCUGUUCAUAGGAGCUAAAAAUAUCCCCAUCCUUAUCUAGUCUGGAAUCCUGCUGCUUUACAUCUCUCCUGACAGCUUCUGGAAAUGCACCCAAAAGGAGAUGCCAGCCAGCCUUGCUAGGAUUCCUCCUUCUUGCUUAGUCAUUUGUGCUCAGCCUUUUCUUUCUUUCUCAAAUCUAAAAAGCAUUUUCAGAGUCAUUGCUCUCAUCCUUUCACUGAAGACCCAGAUUAGAGCCAAGAUGUGACAGAUGAGGAACUGAAGUUCUGAGUUCAGGACGGACAUGAGAUUUCAAGUGGUGUCACCAAAGUUCACAUUCCCUGGCUAGGAAAUAAAGGAGUUUGAGCAACACAUACAUUUGCCUAAUCUCAACAACUGACUGUUCCAAGAUUCAUGUCAAAGGCAAAAUAAUGAUUCCAUUGAAGAUGGAGGAGGAAAAAUAAUCUCAGUCCAGUUUAUCGAAAUGCAACUAACUUUCCCAGGCAAUUUAGGAGCAUCAGUAAAAAAAUAGAGGCUACCUCUAACCAUAAUAAUGAAUUAUAUAUAAAAGAGUGAUGGAAUCCUGGCACCGAGCAAAACAACAAAACUAAACACCCCCAACCUCGAAAUUUCACAACACAAUCCAUCAUCCACACCUCGAGGUUGAAACCACAAAAUAUCAUGUCACAAACCUCCACAGGCCCUAAAAAACCCCCAAAACCAGAGCUAUUCUGUGCAAUUCCAAUGGGCCACAGCAACAGCUAGUACUUGAUAUUUAACCAAUUUCUGAAUCAACCUGAUGAGUAUUUGCUCACUACUAUAAAAUGGCAAAAUCAAGAUUUACAUUUCUGAGUUUUUAUAAAAUAUUUGCUAUCAAUGGAUGGUUGAAUCCAUUAAUAUUAGAAUCUAUGAAUAAGGAGGUCAAAAAGCGGUAUAAGGAACAUGCAUACAAACAGAAGUUUCAUUUUUGGAUAUUUCCAUUACCUUUACAACCGCUUCUGUCUCCAUUCUACCAACACUAAGCCUCAGUAUGUAUAUACAAUGGGGAAAACACACAUUUUUAGAUGACCAAGAG